UUUUUGUCUUUUUAUGUCAUUUAUCAAAAUAAAAGUCACCAUCAUUUCUUUACGUUUUAAGUCAAGUCUGUGUCAAAACAAGCGAGAAAGGAUUUCAAAAUUUACUACCAGUCUUUCCAAUUAUAUGAGGAAAAGCCAAGGAACGACACAGGAAAGAAAUAUGAUCGUAAUUUAACACGAAGCAAAGAAAGUCUAUCAACCGACAGGCUAUUGAAUUCGGGGAAGCAUUCAGAUUUGGGAAAAGGGUGCACCUCAGAGGCAUGGUAAAAUAAGAAACCCAUUGUUCGAGUCAGAACUCAUUUCCCUCAAUCUGGGUCCGGGUCAAU
rnacentral:lncRNA from 1 species